rnacentral:lncRNA from 1 species
GAUAAUCUUAGGUUUUUCUACAAUAACAAAUUUAAAAUUUAAAAAUAAAUUUUAUUUAUUCAAUAAAGUUAAAUAUGGUUUACAAAUAUGAAUCGGUUUACAGUAAACCAAAGUUAAAAUGCAAACCAAAAAAAAAUUCUAAACCUAAUGUCCCCGCCGCUAAUGACCACCACUAAUCUCCGUCGCUCUCCACCACGACCACCACUUCUUCUUCUCUACUAUGUUUGUCAUCUGCUGUACCUAGCCAUGAAUUUCGUCGUCUUCUUCCUCUCUAAGCCCAGCUUCCGUUACUACUCCUUCGGCUUCACCGCCUCCACCGUGGCUUCAUCCUGUCUCCGCUUCCAGCCAAUCUCUCAUUCCUCACAUCAGAUCUUGAAUCGAUGGUGGAGAAAACUCCAUCUUCUUCAUGAAUCUGCAUCUUGACAAGAAGAAGCUUUGAUAAGAGAAUAGAUAAAAAGUGUGGUUGAGACAGAUUUCGUGGUGAUGGUUGAAACAGAGUUCAUUAGCGGAGAUAGAUAACGAGGAGGUGGAGAUUAAGAUGAUGGUGGCAGCGGCGGAGGUUAUGGUGAUGGUGGCUGAGACAGAUUCGUUGGCGGAGGUAGAGAACGAGGAGACAGAGAUGAUGGUGAUGGUGGUGGUUGUGACAGAUUUCGUUUAUGGGGUAAUUUUGUUUAAGGAUGAAGAAGAAAAUGAGAUAAGAAAAGAGAUAGAGAUAAGUCUUUGUUCAAAAGAAGAAAAAAAAGAGAGAGAGAAUACGAAAGGAAAGGUAGGAGAUAGAGGAAGACCACAUUUUUCACUUUGUUCAUUCUUGGCCAUUAGAUUUAUUUUAAUCAAUGGCUGUAGUUAAAAGAAAGUGAAUCCUCACACUUGCACCUUAGUGGUUACUUUUUGAGAGAGGGAAAAAUGAAAGUUAAGAGAGGAAAAUUGAUUAGUGAUGGAAUUUUCACAAAGUAUUUCGCGGAAGAUCUAAUUUUAGGUUUCCGCUUACUAAAAAUCUUUUAUAUCAUUUAUCUAAUGCUAUUAUAUGAUACGAAAAAUUUUAAAUCAUCGACGAUAGCAGUUCAGUAAAACGUGCUAUAACAAUGUGCUAUCAAUGUAGACUUUUUUGUAGUGGAUGCGAUGUUGCUGCGGUAUGGAAACCAUGACGAUCCAGAGCAAAUUAUAUUUUAUUUGGAGUUGGAAAGAAAGUGGCAGGAAACAGAGAUGACGACGCCAUCACCAUCGUUCUUGGUAACAAAGUCGAUUCCAGAAGUCGUAGCGAUUGUAGCAAAUACAUCGACAGUGGCUGAGGUGAUUGAUGUACCAAGAGCGAUGAAGGAUGAACUGUUGCACAAGGAGUCAAGGAUGACUCAAAUCCAGAACAUGAGGUACAAGUUUCUUACUUGGAACCAAGCCCUAUGCUUCACGAUUCAUUCGUUGUUUUUAUUGAUAUGUAAUUUGUGAAUUAUAUCAUAGGUAUAAUAGACACUGUACCAUUUUGACAGAACUAUCUCAAUUCAGAUAGUUCAAUUUGGAUCAGCCAGCUGAUUUUUAAAAUUAAGCCUAAAUUUUGAAAACUCAUCAAGAUGAUCUAUCUAGAUGAUUUGUAAAAACGAAACUUUCAUCUCCAUCUAGAUGACUCAUCUGGAUGGUGAAACAAACAACCCCACAAUUGCUUCUGAUUCAGCGUCUUCAGUAGCAACUAAUUCAUUAUGUGUAAGAACAUCAAAAUGUAUAGGAUUGUGGAUAAUAUUUGGCUCAUCUGAUACAAGAAUCACUUGAGGAGACUAAUGAGCUGGAAUGGAAGUCACUGAAGACAGAGUAGCUUGCUGCCAAGCUUGUAAAAGAGCUGAGGAAUACUGAGGAGCCAAUUGUUUGAAUUUAUCAGCAAAGGAAAAUAGAUUUUCAUUAAUAAUAAUAUGUUUGCUUAUAUAUACCCUUCCUAUUGUUGGUUACAAACAACAUGACCUUCGUAAGAGAAAUUGUAUCCAACAAAGACACAUUGCAUGAUCUUGCUUCAAGCUUGUGACUAGAGUAAAGUUAUAGAUAUGGAUAACAAGCACUUCCAAAAACCCCGCAGAGCUGAAAAUCUGGUUGUUGAUUGUAAAGAACUUCCUAAGGUGCUUAAUGCAUAUAUAUAUACACCGCGUACAAAGAAAUCAUCUAAGAUGUGCUGUCCACAGAAAAAAAAGAAGCAAAUUUUGAAUAUUAGAAAAUAAGUCAAGUUUCCUACUCCAAUUGAUUGGAUUUCGACGGCCAUAAAAACUAUAUUUCGUCAAAAGGAAAAAGUAAACCCCAAAAAAGAUAUUCAAAUAAUCAACCAGGACGAAUUACACCAGCAAGAAGUCUCCUCCCUAUCAAUUCCUUCCUCCGACCUCCAGAUUAAAAAAUUCAUGCUUUCGAGCAAUAGGAUAAAUUUCCUGCAACAAACAUGAUAAGUCUAUGUGAAUAUCAUCAGUCCGACAAAUAUCCAUGCCCAUUGUAGCAUUCUACUACUUAACUCAUGGCUUAGGCCAUGAUCCAUCGACUAAAAUAUGGAAAUAAACUACCUAUUUCAGAACAUCAACAAUCCCUACCUUAUACGACUAGGCGGCAUCCAAAUAAGACUACCACGGCUAUGUGCCUAAAAGGCUACAUGCCACUAAUGCCUUGCGCCAAAAGACAAAUUUUGUUAAUCACUGAAUUAUGAGUCUAUGAUCAUCAAUCCCAUAAGAUCAUAUGAUCUCAUACGGUCCCGAGCCUAACUCAUCUAAAAAACAAUAGGUGACCUUCGAUUACUUGGGACUAGAUAUCUACUUCCGGGAUUCAUACAUGGUCAAGGCCAGAACAAAUUGGAUAAGGCAUAAAGAAACGGCGUCCUGCUCAUGGUAAACUUGCUGAGAAAUAAUGAUUCUGAUCAACAAAAGUGCAUAGGUUAUCUCCCGACUUCACCCAUGAAUUAGAAAGAUAAAGGAAAAUUGUUGGGGAUAAAUAAUUGAGUAAGUUACAUGCUUUUGAGCAGGACGCCAAUCUUCAAUUCCUUCUUGAAUAAAUCUCAACUCCAGAUUUGGAUCAAUUCAUGCACCGUGUAAAUGGAAAACUUCUAAUAAAAGGAGAUUCUUCCAUAAUUCAGGAUGUAAAAGAUUUUAACCUCACUUCCGACUGUGAACAACCUAUAAAAUGAGAUCCCUAAAACAAAGGAUCGACUAUUCAAGACAUCAACUGUAGAGUUAAGUGGAUAUAACUAGGGUUCCUAAUCCAAACUGUGUAGUCCUAGUUCUAAAAAUUAAUAAAACAUUACUUUUAAUCAUUGUUCAUAUGCUUGUUAUUGCUUAUUCCACGUUUCCGUAGUAAAAUAGUCUACACAAAUUUAUCCUAACGUUAACACCUUGUAAGACAAAAUUAGUACAAAUACAGUUGAAUAUUAAAAUAUAGGUUAAUAUAUUACUAAAUAUAUAUUCAAAAAUGUUGUUAAAUAUUUAGGAACCCUUCCUAAAAGUAAACAUUAUUAGUUAAAUAUUUUAAGUAUUUCUAAAUAUAAAAUCCAUGUAGUUAAUACAGUAUACAUACAGUUAAAAUUAACAAGUUACAAUUUUAGAGCACCUCUAUCAGUAACAACCGAUAGAAGUUGCUAAAAGAAAAUAAAUAUUAUUAUUAUUAUAAAAUUAAUCAUCUUUAUAUAUUAAGAAGGGUUUUACUUCCUCAUGAGGCUAUCCACGUAAGCUGCCAUGUCACUAAUUCAUGUCUUUCCAGCUUGACACGUGGACUCUUCUAAGAGCGUGUUAUUCACUUUGAUUUUUCUUUUAACCUAACCAAUCCUUGCCGUUCCGCAUCCUCUUCCCAAACGAUCCAACUGAGAAAUGCCAGUCUUUAUGGAAUUGAAACCUGAAUACCCACUACUUCAUCUUCAAUGCUUGGUUACUUCUUCUUCGAGUUUGCACAUAGAGUAUAUAUAGAGGAUUUAAGCGUCUUCACAAUCAUCUAUUUGAUUCGCCUUCAAUCGCAUAACCCCAAAGCUCUCUCACCAAUAUCCGAUAAUGGGUAAUCAACAGCGCCAAUUCUCAGAGUUAAGAUAGGCCGUUGUAUAAAUUGGGUUGUGACAAGGCUCCUUCGGUUUAGGGAAGCUUGCAAUGUCAAGAAAAGAGAUCCUUCUUGCAAAUUGAUGGAAAGGUACCUACUGUAAAUUUUGAUGUACGUUUAUAGACAUUAGGGUCUUAUAAGAAACACAGCUCACGGGUUACUUUUUUGUUGCCUCACUUGCUGAUGGUAUCCCUUGUUUACGUAUCUCGAUCUGUGUUCUUUGAAAAAAAAAAGUUAUGUGUUCUUCGUUUAUCAUUCUGUUUGUUUUCAUGUUUUAGAUUGUUUGAUACCGCGUAGAUAUUCAGAACUUUUCUUUUUUUGGUACAAUAGAUAUUCAGAACGUUUCUUUUUGGUACAAUAGAUAUUCAGAACUUGACAGUUCCUUCCGUACCUUUCACUCUGGAGUAGCUUCCCGUCAUGGUGAAUUCUCAAACCCACUCGAGAAUUGGGAUGGUACGCACUGAUCAUGAACUAGAAGCUAUCAGGCAGCGAAGAAUGCAAGAGUGAUGGUUCAACAUAGCACUGUAACUUCUAAUUUCUAAUAGCGUUCAUGUAUGCCAGUUCUGUUUUUCUUUUUAAUUGAGAAAAUUGCACUUUGUGCCUCAUUGCGAACCACCCUGAUGUGCAGGGGAAGCAUGCAAUCAUCAGAAUCCGGAUCAAGAGAGAGCACAAGAAGAUGCUAAAAAUUGUGUUAAUUUGCUGACUAUUAGCUGAAAAAUAAACUCUGUGUUGAGCUAAACUACUCUCUGAUUGGAACGUAUGUUUAAGGAAGCUGAUGAGCGUAUGUUUAGGGAAGCUGAUGAAUGUGUUUACAGAUCCAGAGACGUCGUGCGUAUGCUAUUUCAUGUCUUCUCAUUCAUUUUUACUUGAACUCUUCUGUGACCUUAUCAUCACUGCGAUAGUUAUACUCUGACUUUGCAUCUUCUGCAAAAAUUAGAGUAGCUGAAAAAAUAACAGCCGUCUCCAUCAACGGCAAAGAGAGAUAAAGAAAAGCAGAGGAAUACAUAAACCGUAGCUUAUUAUACUCGAGAUCUUUAAGAGUGUGAUCGUAUCCACCAUUUGGUAAUAGAGGAUAUAUUUGAGUUCUAUAGAUGAUAAAAUAACAUUUCUUAGUUAAAACUAUUGAAUCACCUUAUGUCACAUGUAUUCAACUUAUAUCAUUAGACUAACUUUAUAAGACAGCUUCACUAUUUUCAGGGUAGUUAAUUUCCUUUCGGUCAACAAACAAGAAGAUAACUAAUCAAAAGUGAGUUAAAAAAAAACUUAUCAAAAGUAAGAAAAUAAAUUAUCAUAAUUAAUUAAAUUUAGUUAAAAUGAUAUAUAUCAAAUUUUAAUGGGUCAAUUAUUGGUGUAUUGCAUUUUUAGAACAUUUAUGCAUCAAAAGAAAAAUUACAUGAAUCAAGAUAGCUAAUCAAAAUUUUCAUAAAUCAAACAAUGUUUAUUUUACGUAUACUUUAGCUUUGAAAUUGUUUUAUAAUUCACAUCCCGUCUAUAAGACGGACCGACCCUAGUAUAUAUAAUGGAAGAGUUUUUGCUCUCUCCGGAGGCUAUCCACCUCAGCGUAGUGGACCCCACAAGGAAAAAAAUAUAUUUAUAUAAUAGAAAAAAAAGAAGAAGAAUCGAUCUUCUUUGCAUCCUCUCUUCCACCUUAUCUCCACCACGGCUGUUACUAUCGUCGUCCUUGAUAACGUUUAAGGAAUCGUACGGUUGUGGGAGAUUUCGCUAAACACUUGGAUCUCGAUAAAACCUUGAGUGCCUCAAAGCAGAUCGAGAUCUAUUCAGCCUGGAUAAGUGGAGAGAAAAGGAAGAAGGAGAUGAUGAUCCUUGAGGAAGAAGAAAAUGAAGAGAGGGAGACGGAGAGGAAGGAUGAUCGGAGAUAUUUACAAGAGAAGUGAGUGUCAAGGGAGUUGGAGUUAACGCUAUUGUUGUUGUUGCUGGAAGGAAGCUUUGGUCAUGGAGAUUUGUGCGUGUGGACCACAGUGAUUUGAUCUUCCAGCGAAAACAUCUAAGAGAGAAGAAUUUAGUUACCCAUAAACAAUGGAUUCCACUCAUGCCAUGAUUGCCCAAGCUUGGAAAGACCAGACGCCACAUG